rnacentral:rRNA from 1 species
AGAGUUUGAUCAUGGCUCAGGAUGAACGCUAGCGGCAGGCUUAAUACAUGCAAGUCGUGGGGCAGCAUAGGGUAGCAAUACUCUGAUGGCGACCGGCAAACGGGUGCGGAACACGUACGCAACCUUCCUUUAACUGGAGAAUAGCCCCUCGAAAGAGGGAUUAAUACUCCGUAACAUGAUGAUAAGGCAUCUUAUUAUUAUUAUAGCUCCGGCGGUUAAAGAUGGGCGUGCGCCUGAUUAGGUAGUUGGCGGGGUAACGGCCCACCAAGCCUUCGAUCAGUAACUGGUGUGAGAGCACGACCAGUCACACGGGCACUGAGACACGGGCCCGACUCCUACGGGAGGCAGCAGUAAGGAAUAUUGGUCAAUGGACGCAAGUCUGAACCAGCCAUGCCGCGUGGAGGAUUAAGGCCCUCUGGGUUGUAAACUCCUUUUAUCUGGGAAGAAAUCCACGUAUUCUUAUGUGGUUGACGGUACCAGAGGAAUAAGCACCGGCUAACUCCGUGCCAGCAGCCGCGGUAAUACGGAGGGUGCAAGCGUUAUCCGGAUUCACUGGGUUUAAAGGGUGCGUAGGCGGGUAAGUAAGUCCGUGGUGAAAUCUCUGAGCUUAACUCAGAAACUGCCGUGGAUACUAUUUGCCUUGAAUAUUGUGGAGGUGAGCGGAAUAUGUCAUGUAGCGGUGAAAUGCUUAGAUAUGACAUAGAACACCAAUUGCGAAGGCAGCUCACUACACAAUCAUUGACGCUGAGGCACGAAAGCGUGGGGAUCAAACAGGAUUAGAUACCCUAGUAGUCC